UAAUAGUUAAUAUGUAUAGAAAUAAUUAAUGCAACAUACUGUUCCACGCUGUGCGCAAAUGUUUUAUGUUGAAUUCGUAAUUGAAUUGGCGUUUUCUUGAUUGAUUCUGGGCGUUUUUCAAUGGCGGCAGCGGCGCAGGCUUUUGUUUUUUUUUUGGGCGUGGCAUUUGUGUGUGUGAUGUUUCUUUUUUUUUAUAUAUAUAUAUUUUUUGUGACAUUUUACUUUUUGGACAGAGAUCACUCAAGCAGGCAUAUUUAUAUGGACGUAAUACAACUUAAGGCACGCGUUUUGCAUUGUUGAUGUUGGACAGAAUACACGAAACGAAACUGUGAAGGAACUGGAGCUGGAAC